CUCGCUUCACUCACUCGUUCCCCACUCUCUCGUCCAAAUCCCUAGCUCGCCUCGCUCCGCUGCUCGCGUCGCCGCCGCUCGCCUCUCUUGCUCGCGUCACCGCCGCCAUCUCGCCUGCGUCGACGUCGACGCUCGCCUCCACCCCACACGCGUCGCCGCCGCCGCCUUCUUGUGACGUCUUCGCCGCUCCCUCUCACCCGCGUCGCCUGCACCAGCGAGGUCGCCACAAGAUUGUUUUUGUUACCAAAGCGGAGGCGAGGAGCAGCUGGUGAGUUGUACCCAUGGCUGGAUCUGAAGUGUCUGGACGUCCCCGCGAUGAGGAUGAGUGGGAGGAGCAAGAGCACAUCUGAAGAUGGUGAGGAGUGGAGGCGGCGGUUCUGAAUUUGAAGAUGGUGCUGUGAGGAGUAGCGGGAGGAGCAGUCGCCGACGGCCUGGCUGCAUGGGGUACGCCCUCCCCUUCGUCUCCUACGGCAUCGUGGACAUCCUGCUCGACGACGUACAUCUGCUCGAGGAUAUCCUGCUCGACGAUGCUCCUCUUCGCCAGCAUCUCUAGCGCGUGACUGAUACAGAAGCAAAGUGUUUCAAGGCACAUAGGUCCAGUGAUGAGAGUGGUAGUUUCAGAAAAGAUACUGAAGCUAAUUCAAGAAAUACUACUAAGGCUGUUGGUCAAAAUCCCCCACCACCAAAGCAAGGUUUCAUCCAUGUGAGGGCAAGAAGGGGUCAAGCAACUGACAGCCAUAGCCUUGCAGAAACGCUACAAAUCUGGUCGCUGAAAGUCUACUUUCUUUUACGGGCACGGCGUGAGAAAGUAACCAAGCGGAUGAAAAUUCUCCAAAACCCUAUCCCUGGAUGUAAUAAAGGUGCAUAUUAAUCUCAACAAGAAGUCUAUAUUUUUUAUGUUUACAUUCUGUCCCACCAAUGUCCAGAUAUGUAUUGAAAAGUAAGGAUUAUAAAAUUCAAAUAAGGGGGAAAUAAGAGAAUAUACAGAGACCUCCACAUAUGAUAAAUAAUAUAAAGAUGUAGUUUCGAUAUUGUGUGGUGGUCCAGUAUCGCACCCUUUGGAAAAAAAAUCAGGGAGGUAUUUGGGUCCAAUCUGUAACAUCAAUCCAGUGUGGUAUAUCAUCCCUGCUUUCACCACCUGUACCAUUAAUCCAGUGUGGUAUAUUAUUGCUGCUUUGCCCAUCUGUACCAUCAAUUAUCAAAGAACCAACGACCACAUUUCAUUGUUGAUUAACAGUGACUAAUUUAACUUGAGAUGCAAAUAACCCAUUGGUGUAACUGUAGUUCUAAUACCAAAGAUAGUCUCCGGUCAUGAUCAAGCAACCAGAGUUAUUCUGCUUAAGGGAAAUAAAUAACAUAACAAAAAU